UACGGGAGGCAGCAGUGGGGAAUAUUGCACAAUGGGCGAAAGCCUGAUGCAGCUAUGCCGCGUGUAUGAAGAAGGCCUUAGGGUUGUAAAGUACUUUCAUCGGGGAGGAAAAAACAAAACUAAUAAUUUUAUUUCUUGACGUUACCCGAAAAAGAAGCACCGGCUAACUCCGUGCCAGCAGCCGCGGUAAUACGGAGGGUGCUAGCGUUAAUCAGAAUUACUGGGCGUAAAGAGCACGUAGGUGGUUUUUUUAAGUCAGAUGUGAAAUCCCUGGGCUUAACCUAGGAACUGCAUUUUGAAACUGAAAUACUAGAGUAUCGUAGAGGGAGGUAGAAUUCUAGGUGUAGCGGUGAAAUGCGUAGAUAUCUGGAGGAAUACCUGUGGCGAAAGCGGCCUCCUAAACGAAUACUGACACUGAGGUGCAAAAGCGUGGGGAGCAAACAGGGAUUAGAUACCCGU
rnacentral:rRNA from 1 species